UGGGGAAUAUUGGACAAUGGGGGAAACCCUGAUCCAGCAAUGCCGCGUGUGUGAAGAAGGCCUUCGGGUUGUAAAGCACUUUUAGUGGGGAAGAAAAGCUCAAAGCUAAUACCUUUGAGAAUUGACGGUACCCAAAGAAAAAGCACCGGCUAACUCUGUGCCAGCAGCCGCGGUAAUACAGAGGGUGCAAGCGUUAAUCGGAAUUACUGGGCGUAAAGCGCAUGUAGGUGGAUAUUUAAGUCGGAUGUGAAAGCCCCGGGCUCAACCUGGGAAUCGCACUCGAUACUGAAUGUCUUGAGUAUAGUAGAGGGAAGUGGAAUUUCCGGUGUAGCGGUGAAAUGCGUAGAUAUCGGAAAGAACAUCAGUGGCGAAGGCGGCUUCCUGGAUUAAUACUGACACUAAAGUGCGAAAGCGUGGGGAGCAAACAGG
rnacentral:rRNA from 1 species